rnacentral:rRNA from 1 species
UGACCUAGCGGCGGACGGGUGAGUAAUGCUUAGGAAUCUGCCUAUUAGUGGGGGACAACAUCUCGAAAGGGAUGCUAAUACCGCAUACGUCCUACGGGAGAAAGCAGGGGACCUUCGGGCCUUGCGCUAAUAGAUGAGCCUAAGUCGGAUUAGCUAGUUGGUGGGGUAAAGGCCUACCAAGGCGACGAUCUGUAGCGGGUCUGAGAGGAUGAUCCGCCACACUGGGACUGAGACACGGCCCAGACUCCUACGGGAGGCAGCAGUGGGGAAUAUUGGACAAUGGGGGGAACCCUGAUCCAGCCAUGCCGCGUGUGUGAAGAAGGCCUUUUGGUUGUAAAGCACUUUAAGCGAGGAGGAGGCUACCGAGAUUAAUACUCUUGGAUAGUGGACGUUACUCGCAGAAUAAGCACCGGCUAACUCUGUGCCAGCAGCCGCGGUAAUACAGAGGGUGCAAGCGUUAAUCGGAUUUACUGGGCGUAAAGCGCGCGUAGGUGGCCAAUUAAGUCAAAUGUGAAAUCCCCGAGCUUAACUUGGGAAUUGCAUUCGAUACUGGUUGGCUAGAGUAUGGGAGAGGAUGGUAGAAUUCCAGGUGUAGCGGUGAAAUGCGUAGAGAUCUGGAGGAAUACCGAUGGCGAAGGCAGCCAUCUGGCAUAAUACUGACACUGAGGUGCGAAAGCAUGGGGAGCAAACAGGAUUAGAUACCCUGGUAGUCCAUGCCGUAAACGAUGUCUACUAGCCGUUGGGGCCUUUGAGGCUUUAGUGGCGCAGCUAACGCGAUAAGUAGACCGCCUGGGGAGUACG